ACCCCUGGCCUAAGUACUCUAAAGGCACCAGAUCCUCACUUAUGUUGGAAGCUAAGCAAGGUCAGCCCUGGUUAGUAGUUGGAUGGGAGACCACCAAAGGAUACCAGGUACUGGAAGCU
rnacentral:rRNA from 11 species